AACGAACGCUGGCGGCAUGCCUAACACAUGCAAGUCGAACGAGACCUUCGGGUCUAGUGGCGCACGGGUGCGUAACGCGUGGGAACCUGCCCUUAGGUUCGGAAUAACUCCCCGAAAGGGGUGCUAAUACCGGAUAAUGUCUUCGGACCAAAGAUUUAUCGCCUUUGGAUGGGCCCGCGUUUGUUUAGCUAGUUGGUAGGGUAAAAGCCUACCAAGGCGACGAUCCAUAGCUGGUCUGAGAGGAUGAUCAGCCACACUGGGACUGAGACACGGCCCAGACUCGUACGGGAGGCAGCAGUGGGGAAUAUUGGACAAUGGGCGAAAGCCUGAUACAGCAAUGCCGCGUGAGUGAUGAAGGCCUUAGGGUUGUAAAGCUCUUUUAACCGGGGUGAUAAUGACAGUACCGGGAGAAUAAGCUCCGGCUAACUCCGUG
rnacentral:rRNA from 1 species